AUUGAACGCUGGCGGCAGGCCUAACACAUGCAAGUCGAACGAGUGGCGGACGGGUGAGUAAUGUCUGGGAAACUGCCCGAUGGAGGGGGAUAACUACUGGAAACGGUAGCUAAUACCGCAUACCAUCGGAUGUGCCCCGAUGGGAUUGGCUAGUAGGUGGGGUAAAGGCUCACCUAGGCGACGAGCCCUAGCUGGUCUGAGAGGAUGCCCGUCCACACUGGAACUGAGACACGGUCCAGACUCCUACGGGAGGGAGCAGUGGGGAAUAGUGGACAAUGGGCGCAAGCCUGGUGCAGCCAUGCCGCAGGUAUGAAGAAGGCCUUCGGGUUGUAAAGUACGUUCAGCGGGGAGGCGUUACCCGCAGAAGAAGCACCGGCUAACUCCGUGCCAGCCGCCGCGGUAAUUC
rnacentral:rRNA from 1 species